GAUGAACGCUAGCUACAGGCCUAACACAUGCAAGUCGAGGGACCGGCGCACGGGUGAGUAACACGUAUCCAACCUGCCCUUUACUCGGGGAUAGCCUUUCGAAAGAAAGAUUACUACCUGACAUAAAGGAUGGGGAUGCGUUGCAUUAGGUUGUUGGUAAGGUAACGGCCCACCAAGCCUUCGAUGGAUAGGGGUUCUGAGAGGAAGGUACCCCAGAUUGGAACUGAGACACGGUCGAAACGGCGACGAGGGGCAGCAGUAAGGAGUAGUGGUCAAGGAGGGCUAGUCUGAACCAGCCAAGUAGCGUGAAGGAUGAAGGCUUAGGGAUGGUAAACUUCUGUUAUAGAAGAAGAGGUAAUAGAUGAAUAAGGAUCGGCUAACUCCGUGCCAGCAGCCGCGGUAAUUC
rnacentral:rRNA from 1 species